rnacentral:rRNA from 1 species
UACGUAGGGGGCAAGCGUUGUCCGGAAUCAUUGGGCGUAAAGCGCGUGUAGGCGGCCCGAUAAGUCCGCUGUGAAAGUCCAGGGCUCAACCCUGGGAUGCCGGUGGAUACUGUCGGGCUCGAGUCCGGAAGAGGCGAGUGGAAUUCCUGGUGUAGCGGUGGAAGUGCGCAGAUAUCAGGAGGAACACCAAUAGCGAAGGCAGCUCGCUGGGACGGUACUGACGCUGAGACGCGAAAGCGUGGGGAGCGAACAGG